rnacentral:rRNA from 1 species
GGCUCAAGAUGAACGCUAGCGACAGGCCUAACACAUGCAAGUCGAGGGGCAUCGGGGCGAGGAGCAAUCCUUGCCGCCGGCGACCGGCGCACGGGUGAGUAACGCGUAUGCGACCUGCCCGUUGCAGGGGGAUAAUCGGGAGAAAUCCCGUCUAAUACCGCGUAAUGCCGCGGGGCUGCAUGGCCCUGCGGCCAAAGGGAGCGAUUCCGGCAACGGAUGGGCAUGCGUGACAUUAGCUAGUUGGCGGGGCAACGGCCCACCAAGGCGACGAUGUCUAGGGGUUCUGAGAGGAAGGUCCCCCACACUGGUACUGAGACACGGACCAGACUCCUACGGGAGGCAGCAGUGAGGAAUAUUGGUCAAUGGGCGCGAGCCUGAACCAGCCAAGUCGCGUGAGGGAUGACGGCCCUACGGGUUGUAAACCUCUUUUGUCGGGGAGCAAAUUCCGCCACGUGUGGCGGAGUCGAGAGUACCCGAAGAAAAAGCAUCGGCUAACUCCGUGCCAGCAGCCGCGGUAAUACGGAGGAUGCGAGCGUUAUCCGGAUUUAUUGGGUUUAAAGGGUGCGUAGGCGGACUGUCAAGUCAGCGGUAAAAUACGGGGGCUCAACCUCCGCCCGCCGUUGAAACUGACGGUCUUGAGUGGGCGAGAAGUAUGCGGAAUGCGUGGUGUAGCGGUGAAAUGCAUAGAUAUCACGCAGAACUCCGAUUGCGAAGGCAGCAUACCGGCGCCCGACUGACGCUGAAGCACGAAAGCGUGGGUAUCGAACAGGAUUAGACACCCUGGUAGUCCACGCAGUAAACGAUGAAUACUAGCUGUCCGGGGCGAAUGAGCCCUGGGUGGCACAGCGAAAGCGUUAAGUAUUCCACCUGGGGAGUACGCCGGCAACGGUGAAACUCAAAGGAAUUGACGGGGGCCCGCACAAGCGGAGGAACAUGUGGUUUAAUUCGAUGAUACGCGAGGAACCUUACCCGGGCUCAAACGACACAGGAACGUACCUGAAAGGGUUCGGCUCUACGGAGCCUGUGUCGAGGUGCUGCAUGGUUGUCGUCAGCUCGUGCCGUGAGGUGUCGGCUUAAGUGCCAUAACGAGCGCAACCCCCAUCGACAGUUGCUAACAGGUCAGGCUGAGGACUCUGUCGAGACUGCCGGCGCAAGCUGCGAGGAAGGCGGGGAUGACGUCAAAUCAGCACGGCCCUUACGUCCGGGGCGACACACGUGUUACAAUGGCAGGUACAGCGGGAAGCCACCUGGCGACAGGGAGCGGAACCCGAAAGCCUGUCUCAGUUCGGAUUGGAGUCUGCAACCCGACUCCAUGAAGCUGGAUUCGCUAGUAAUCGCGCAUCAGCCACGGCGCGGUGAAUACGUUCCCGGGCCUUGUACACACCGCCCGUCAAGCCAUGGAAGCCGGGGGUGCCUGAAGUGCGCUGCCGCGAGGAGCGCCCUAGGGUAAAACCUGGUGACUGGGGCUAAGUCGUAACAAGGUA